rnacentral:rRNA from 1 species
UACGUAGGGGGCUAGCGUUGUCCGGAAUCAUUGGGCGUAAAGAGCGUGUAGGCGGCCCGGUAAGUCCGCUGUAAAAGUCAAAGGCUCAACCUUUGAAUGUCAGUGGAUACUGCCGGGCUAGAGUCCGGAAGAGGCGAGUGGAACUCCCGGUGUAGUGGUGAAAUGCGUAGAUAUCGGGAGGAACAUCAGUGGCGAAGGCGGCUUCCUGGCCUGUUCUUGACGCUGAGGCGCGAAAGCUAGGGGAGCAAACGGG